GUUGGCGUUGCGGCAGAAAAUCCAAGCGGAUCACAGGAGGGAGGAGAGGAGGGAACCGAGCAGUGGAGCACCAUCGGCAUCGGCGUCGCCAUUUGCCGGUGCCGCACCGCACCCCCUUUAUAUCCCCCGUCUCCCACCUCUUUCGCCUCCCCUAUUUCCCAUCCCACCACCCACCCUGCCCCGACCCCGAGCGCAAAGCCAGCGCAGCGCCCAUCUCCUUCUUCCUCCUCGUUGGAUCGCAGCUCCUUGUUCCUCGCGUCCGAUACGCCAGGUUUUCCUUCUGCGAGCAACAAUUCUUGGCGCGCGCGCGCACUCGCAAUGGCGUCCACGUCCAGCUCGACGCCAGCGGCGGAGGUGGAGGAGAGGGGCCGGAAGCGGAAGCGCGCGGCCGGGGCGGCGCCGACGCAGCCGUCCGAGUGGCGGACGCGGCGCGAGCACGAGAUCUACUCGUCCAGGCUCCUCGAGGCGAUCCGCCUCGUGCGCGCGGGGCCCUCCUCCGCCGCCGCCGCCAAGGCGGCCCCGACGCGCAGCAGGGCCGUGCGCGAGGCGGCCGACCGCGCGCUCGCGGUCGCGGCGCGCGGGCGCACGCACUGGAGCCGCGCCAUCCUCGCGUCCCACCGCCGCCGCCUCCAGGCCGCGCACCGCGCGCGCCUUCGCGCCCCCGCGUCCCCGCCUCCGCGCCACGGCGCCUCCGCGGCGAAGGGCACCGCCGCGCUGCCUCCGGUGGCGAGGAAGGCCAUGGUGCUGGGCCGGCUGGUGCCCGGCUGCCGGAAGCUGUCGUUUCCGACGCUCCUCGCCGAGACCACGGACUACAUCGCGGCGCUCCAGAUGCAGGUCCGCGCCAUGACGGCCCUCGCCGAGGCGCUGUCCGCCGUCUCCUCAUCAUCUUCCGGCGCCGGCUCUUCCCCUUCCUCCUCGCCGGCGUGACCAACAUUCGUGGAUUCGUUGUAAAUUUUUUUUCCGUCUAUUUUUUCCCUCGCCCCGAAUUUUUCCUCGGGAUUAGUUAACCGCUAGCUUUCCCUCUUUCUAGUUUCCUUUGUCGUCUUGUUUCUCCCAGUUCGGUGAGCGGUUAGUGUUAUGAUGAAGACGACGACGACGACGAUGGCGUCCCAGCGAUUAACCCGUGCUGUAAUAUGUGAUAGAAGAAGCCGUAGCCCACAGUGGUUUUGCUGUCUCUAUCCUCUCCUCCCUCCGGCUCAGGAUUCUUUUGUAGCUUGGUUUGUUCUCACCUGCUUCGAUUCGCUCUCCGAUGAAUGCAGCUUGAAAUGUUGGUUCAGAUCACGUCAUCGUGUAUGAUGCAUCCUUUCAUGUGCUUCUUGCUCAACAUCCUGUAGCAUUUUCUCCAUGGCUUGCUUGUACUAUUGUAUCAUCUC
rnacentral:misc_RNA from 1 species